rnacentral:tRNA from 1 species
GGCCUUGUAGCUCAGCUCUAACAGCGUGCGCAUAAAAAGCGUAGGCGGCGUCCAUGUGUGGGUUCGAAUCCCUCCGAGGCUA